GCCAAGAGUGAAAGAGAACGCGUCCGCGUCGACGCCGACGUCGUGUUUCUGCGCUUACUUCAAGUCGCCUCGUCGUCACGUUAGUACCCCUUUAGCAGUGCGAGCAUUAGUCAGGUUAAUAAUCUGUUACUGAGUAAGAAGGCGGCAAAACAAAAUUGUUAUAUUAAUAUCAAAUGCUCUUAAAAAGAAGUGUACUAACUUUUUAAUGGUGACACGUCCAGCGACAGUGACCCAAAUGACAGAGGUUCUCAUUCAUGAAAUAAAUAGUCGAUUCGCCGGCGUCGAAGAAAAUAAUAUUUUUGCUGAGAGCACAAUUCUGGACCCGCGGUUCAAAAAAUAUGGGUUCACAAACGAAUUUGCAUAUGGUAGGACAUGUGCAAAUUUAAAGUCCCAAGCCGGGCGAAUCCUCAUUGAUUCCCAACAUCCUACCAUACCGGAGCCUACAAAUUCAUCUCCGUCAUCUAAACGUAAGCGCAGUAUUUGGGAUGAAUUUGAUGAACAGGUGGGUGACAUUUUGAAGAACAUCAACCCGACGUCAGGAGGUAUCAUAGAGGUAGACAAAUACUUGGAAGAGCCAUUGCUACCUAGGUCCCAAGACCCUGCGAAGUGGUGGUUCUCCAAAAAGGAGGCUUA